rnacentral:rRNA from 1 species
AUUGAACGCUGGCGGCAGGCCUAACACAUGCAAGUCGAGCGAGCGGCGGACGGGUGAGUAAUGUCUGGGAAACUGCCUGAUGGAGGGGGAUAACUAAUGGAAACGGUAGCUAAUACCGCAUACCAUCAGAUGUGGCCAGUGGGGAUUAGCAAGUAGGUGGGGGAACGGCUCACCUCGGCGACGAUCCCUAGCUGGUCUGAGAGGAGGACCAGCCACACUGGAACGGAGACACGGUCCAGACUCCUACGGGAGGCAGCAGUGGGGAAUAUUGCACAAUGGGCGCAAGCCUGAUGCAGCCAUGCCGGUUGUGUGAAGAAGGCCUUCGGGUUGUAAAGCACUUUCAGCGGGGAGGCGUUACCCGCAGAAGAAGCACCGGCUAACUCCGUGCCAGCAGCCGCGGUAAUAC